rnacentral:rRNA from 1 species
AGUGAACGCUGGCGGCAGGCCUAACACAUGCAAGUCGAACGGCAGCACAGGAGAGCUUGCUCUCUGGGUGGCGAGUGGCGGACGGGUGAGGAAUACGUCGGAAUCUGCCUAUUUGUGGGGGAUAACGUAGGGAAACUUACGCUAAUACCGCAUACGACCUACGGGUGAAAGCGGAGGACCUUCGGGCUUCGCGCAGAUAGAUGAGCCGACGUCGGAUUAGCUUGUUGGGCGGGGUAACGGCCCACCGAACGGCGACGAUCCGUAGCUGGUCUGAGAGGAUGAUCAGCCACACU